ensembl:miRNA Mir344a-2 microRNA 344a-2
GCAGCCAGGGUUUUUACCAGUCAGGCUCCUGGCUAGAUUCCAGGUACCAACUGGUACCUGAUCUAGCCAAAGCCUGACUGUAAGCUGUAAAAACAAAGGAAGACUGC